rnacentral:rRNA from 1 species
ACAGCAGUCGCCGCGGUAAUACGGAGGGGGCUAGCGUUGUUCGGAAUUACUGGGCGUAAAGCGCACGUAGGCGGCUUUGUAAGUUAGAGGUGAAAGCCAGGAGCUCAACUCCAGAAUUGCCUUUAAGACUGCAUCGCUUGAAUCCAGGAGAGGUGAGUGGAAUUCCGAGUGUAGAGGUGAAAUUCGUAGAUAUUCGGAAGAACACCAGUGGCGAAGGCGGCUCACUGGACUGGUAUUGACGCUGAGGUGCGAAAGCGUGGGGAGCAAACAGGAUUAGAUACCCCGGUAGUCCCUGUCUCUUAUAC